UACAUGGGGUGCAAACGUUGCUCGGAAUUAUUGGGCGUAAAGCGCACGUAGGUGGUUCGUUAAGUCGGAUGUGAAAGCCCUCGGCUCAACUGAGGAAGUGCACCCGAAACUGGCGAGCUUGAGUACGAAAGAGGAUCGCGGAAUUCCCGGUGUAGAGGUGAAAUUCGUAGAUAUGUGGAGGAAUACCGAUGGCGAAGGCAGCCCCCCUGGGAUAAUACACUGACGCUCAUGCACGAAAGCGUGGGGAGCAAACAGG
rnacentral:rRNA from 1 species